rnacentral:rRNA from 1 species
GAUGAACGCUAGCGGCAGGCCUAAUACAUGCAAGUCGAACGGUGUCUUCGGACAUAGUGGCGCACGGGUGCGUAACACGUAUGCAACCUACCUUACAUUGGGGGAUAGCCUUUCGAAAGGGAGAUUAAUACCGCAUAAGACAGUAGCUGGGCAUCCAGCAGCUGUUAAAGAUUUAUCGAUGUAAGCUGGGCAUGCGUCCAAUUAGCUAGUUGGUGGGGUAACGGCUCACCAAGGCAAUGAUUGGUAGGGGAACUGAGAGGUCAAUCCCCCACACUGGCACAGAGAUACGGGCCAGACUCCUACGGGAGGCAGCAGUAGGGAAUAUUGGGCAAUGGACGCAAGUCUGACCCAGCCAUGCCGCGUGCAGGAUGAAGGCGUUAUGCGUUGUAAACUGCUUUUAUACAGGAAGAAACGACUCUUGCGAGAGGCAUUGACGGUACUGUAUGAAUAAGCACCGGCUAACUCCGUGCCAGCAGCCGCCGUAAUAC